UCAUGACUUGAGGCAGCUUUAUUGAUAGCCCGGUAUGAAGAGGGACAUAGUGGAUUACUCGUCCAAGUGACAAAACUGUCAUCAUGGAAAGUGUGGACAACAAAGGCCCACGGGGUUGCUUCAGAGGAUGUCAUUAGCCAUAUCCUCGACAACCCUACAUAUGCGAUGCAAUUUUACAAAAGACAGAAAGAAAUAGUUGAACACUUUCCAGCAGCUGCAACAUCCCAGCAGAUAUAUCGAGGACAAGUUCCUCAACAGUUGCACAGUUUAAUUUCUUAAAAAUUGAAAUCACAACGGCGCUACCCCAAUAAUCUUACAACUUCCAUGUUUGGCAAACAGCGUAUGGAUCCUCCAAAAAUGCAAUACUUUGAAGGAUUUGACAUGCAGCCGAUGACAUUUUUAAAGAUUUCGAGUCAACAUAGGUGAUAAGUAAUGCCAAAAGAAGUCCAUGAGUGUUUUGCAAUCUAAAUGGGGAGUAAAAUACCUAAGCGAAAAA